UGCGAAUCAAAGAUGGUGGCUUGCAUAACAACGAUCGUGUCAAAUUGUAUUUUCUUAUACAUUUCUUGCGUAAUUGAUCCAAAAGCUGUCUUAAACGCAUGUCUCCAACACGACUGCGUUAUAAAGGUAACGUUACCGUUAGGCUUUCCUAACUGAGGACCUGGCUGCUGGGUAAUGUUGACAGUUUAAUUUGUAUACCAUCCUUUAUUUUAACGCGUAGGCCUACCAUUAAUUGUGUUGGUUGGCUAAGCCACACUUCCAUUGCAAAGUGCACAGCUUUCUGCACCAGCCUGAAUAAUUCUAGUUAUGUAGGGUGUCAAAUCCGAUCCAAAAGUCGAACGAGCACUAGAUGGGGCGCGCGAGCUAGAUUAAAUAUUGCUCGAGAAGAAAUGUGGUCGAGCGAGCAGAGGACGGGUUCAGGGAGCGUAGACCGGUGUGGUGCGCACAUAUUACAGUUGAGAGUUUACGAGUGAGUGAGCAGAACUUCAUUCCCGUACGUAUUAAAUUAAAUCGAGUUUUUUUUUUUUGAUAACCUGAAGAAAUAUUUUCUACAUAUCGAGAUUCAGAAAUUACUGCACUCACAAAUACGGGGGACUACCAACUAAUUUUAUGCCUUAAUUAAACAACUCUGCACAUAUGUAUCGCUCCACCUUCCUCAAUCUCCAUUGUCAUACUUUUGUUUACCUUUUUACCAAUGUCUAUGGAUUGUACAAGGAUUUUAAUUUGGGAGUUAAUGUAAAAAGCUGAGGGAUGGGGCUGGGGACAUGUAACCGCUCUCAAAUUCAUAGACCGUGUUAUGGAUGCAAGGACUGACCAUCCGCCGCCUCCUUAAACCCCCAUAAGAGAUGACCCAAAGUUCCUUGCCUAAGACCUCCAAUGAGUUUUGAAAAGGAAGUGAAGAGUUGAGCAAAGAUACAUUGGGACAGGGCUUAUGUCAAAUGAUACAAUUCUGUUCUAAAUGACCGAGUCCAUCCUCACCACCUCCAUCACUGCAACGGAUUGUCUGGUCUGCUGAGAGGGUCAUUGGUUGUCCUGCACGAAUCGAAGGCAAAGAAGUAUGCUGGGAAGUUCAUUGCCGACCCCUUUCACCCCCUCUUCCAAAUAUUCCCCUCUGGCAAAACCUCCUGCCACAGAACAGUUUCUUCCCCUUUGUCAUUGGCCCUCACCAACCUUCCACCUGGUCCUCUCAUCCAUGGACUUUGCACCUUACACUCCUAUUAUAUGCAUCAUUUAGCAUAUGUUUACAUUUUAGCCAUUUAGCUGACACUCACAUCCAGAGCGACAUACAGGUAGCAAAUAGGGUAAAGUGCCUCGCCAAAGUGCACAUCGACAGAUUUUUCACAGUCUGCUCGAGAUUUGAACCAGCGACCUGGAAGAACAGCCCAAUGCUCUUAACCUGUAGGCUACCUGCAGUUUAAAGUGUACAUACUGUAUGUGGAUAUUUUCUUUUUGUUUGUAUAUUCUGUUUGUGGCAGCACCAUUUCAGUAAAGUUCCUGAACAUGCAAAUGUAUUUGUUGAAUAAAG
ensembl:lncRNA